UACGUAGGGUGCGAGCGUUGUCCGGAAUUAUUGGGCGUAAAGAGCUCGUAGGCGGUGUGUCACGUCGGCCGUGAAAACCUGCAGCUUAACUGUGGGCGUGCGGUCGAUACGGGCAUCACUGGAGUUCGGCAGGGGAGACUGGAAUUCCUGGUGUAGCGGUGGAAUGCGCAGAUAUUAGGAGGAACACCGGUGGCGAAGGCGCCACUCUGGGCCGAAACUGACGCUGAGGAGCGAAAGCGUGGGUAGCAAACAGG
rnacentral:rRNA from 1 species